CUACGGGCCGCACCAGUGAGGAAUAUUGCACAAUGGGGGGAACCCUGACGCAGCAACGCCGCGUGGAGGAUGACGCAUUUCGGUGUGUAAACUCCUUUUAUAUGUCAAGAAAAUGACGGUAGCAUAUGAAUAAGCACCGGCUAACUCCGUGCCAGCAGCCGCGGUAUUACGGAGGGUGCAAGCGUUACUCGGAAUCACUGGGCGUAAAGGACGCGUAGGCGGGUUGGAAAGUCAGGUGUGAAAUCCUACAGCUUAACUGUAGAACUGCACUUGAAACUUCUAAUCUAGAGUAUGGGAGGGGGAGAUGGAAUUAGUGGUGUAGGGGUAAAAUCCGUAGAUAUCACUAGGAAUACCUAAAGCGAAGGCGAUCUCCUGGAACAUUACUGACGCUAAGGCGUGAAAGCGUGGGGAGCAAACAGGAUUAGAUACCCUCGUAGUC
rnacentral:rRNA from 1 species